AGGUGCUGCAUGGCUGUCGUCAGCUCGUGUCGUGAGAUGUUCGGUUAAGUCCGCUAACGAGCGCAACCCUCGCUGUGUGUUACAAGGUGUCACACGGAACUGCCGGUCAUAAACCGGAGGAAGGUGGGGAUGACGUCAAGUCAGCAUGGCCUUUAUAUCCUGGGCUACACACACGCUACAAUGGGAAGGGACAAUAGGUUGCGAAACCGCGAGGUGGAGCCAAUCCAGCAAAACUUCCUCAGUUCAGAUUGCAGGCUGCAACUCGCCUGCAUGAAGUUGGAGUUGCUAGUAAACGCAGGUCAGCCAUACUGCGUUGAAUACGUUCCCGGGGCUU
rnacentral:rRNA from 1 species